UGUUUGAUGUUCUAACGUGGACCCGUGAUCCGGGUUGCGGACAGUGUCUGGUGGGUAGUUUGACUGGGGCGGUCUCCUCCUAAAGAGUAACGGAGGAGCACGAAGGUUGGCUAAUCCUGGUCGGACAUCAGGAGGUUAGUGCAAUGGCAUAAGCCAGCUUGACUGCGAGCGUGACGGCGCGAGCAGGUGCGAAAGCAGGUCAUAGUGAUCCGGUGGUUCUGAAUGGAAGGGCCAUCGCUCAACGGAUAAAAGGUACUCCGGGGAUAACAGGCUGAUACCGCCCAAGAGUUCAUAUCGACGGCGGUGUUUGGCACCUCGAUGUCGGCUCAUCACAUCCUGGGGCUGAAGUAGGUCCCAAGGGUAUGGCUGUUCGCCAUUUAAAGUGGUACGCGAGCUGGGUUUAGAACGUCGUGAGACAGUUCGGUCCCUAUCUGCCGUGGGCGCUGGAGAACUGAGGGGGGCUGCUCCUAGUACGAGAGGACCGGAGUGGACGCAUCACUGGUGUUCGGGUUGUCAUGCCAAUGGCACUGCCCGGUAGCUAAAUGCGGAAGAGAUAAGUGCUGAAAGCAUCUAAGCACGAAACUUGCCCCGAGAUGAGUUCUCCCUGACCCUUUAAGGGUCCUGAAGGA
rnacentral:rRNA from 1 species